rnacentral:rRNA from 1 species
UACGUAGGGGGCGAGCGUUGUCCGGAUUUAUUGGGCGUAAAGAGCGUGUAGGCGGCCAGGUAGGUCUGCUGUGAAAACUCGAGGCUCAACCUCGAGACGUCGGCGGAAACCAUUUGGCUAGAGUCCGGAAGAGGAAAGUGGAAUUCCUGGUGUAGCGGUGGAAUGCGCAGAUAUCAGGAGGAACACCUAUAGCGAAGGCAGCUUGCUGGGACGUUACUGACGCUAAGGCGCGAAAGCGUGGGGAGCGACGAGAG